rnacentral:lncRNA from 1 species
AAGACAGAAAGAAAAGAAAAGAAAAGAAGAAAAGAAGAAGAAAAACGAGCGGACAGCAUGUUAUGUUUGCAAUGUUUUAUUUUUCAAGAGUGGAGAGAAAAUCAAAGCCAAAGACCGGGAGGUGUUUUGUUUGCAUCGUAAGUAUUUGGAGUGAGGUGGCAUUUUGUGAACAAUAACGAUACCAACAACAACCUUGUUCAGCGUCUGUGUAUGAGGCACAGGCCUUACUCGACCAGUACCAGAAUUCUUUCAAAGCAGCGUGGUAUUCUCAGCCCCCACAAGGCCCGGCCCUAUAGGGGGGAACCUGUCUGUGGAAUAUUUUCAGGAUCUGUCAACACACAAGUUCUUGACCAAAAGAAAAGAAAAAAAGAAAAGAAAAGAAAAAAAAAAAAAAAAAUCCACCUCACCUUCAUAGCUCUUUUCGUGAGCCCUUCUGAGUGUUGAAUGCAAGACUCGUGAUCCUGGAAAAUUACAUUUUUUUUUUCAUUCGUCUAGAAGAAAAAAAGGAAAAAAGAAAAUCGAGGCAUAAUGAGUGUUUGUACAAUUAAUUCCUUGCCCGGAGAGACUCUGGCAAGCACCUUGGUGUUAAUAUAAUUAGUCGACAUGUAGCAUUAUUAGUGUCUGAGUGAUGCAGUUCAGUGUGAUAUUAAGCAUUAGGUUUAGGUGAUAUUCCGGAGAAUAUUUAUUUUGUGUUUGACAUAAAAAAAAUCUGAUCCAUGUGAAUCGUCCGGGAACCAAAAAAGGUGUAACUUCUACAAGUGUGACUUUGUUCACCUAAACGACGCACUGGAGAUCGCGAUAGGAACCAAACAAACAAAAUAAAAAAAUAUAUAUAUAUUUUGGCUUUAUUCUAAGACUUGUGUUAGCCACAGAAAGGACGUUUCUUGGCUAGUGGAUAUUUUACCUAGUUUAACCCUCCUUAAAACGGACGUUACGAUAGUUUACUGUUCGGCCAAAAGGCGUGUUGAUUUGUUAUCUUGCAUUCACCUCAAAGCUCACACAAAAUAACUUCUGUGAAACAUGUAGAUACAAUCUUCUAAGUAUAAUAAUAAUAAUAAAGACAAAGGUGUUUCGUGGCUGGAAGACAAUAUCGGAGAUGGGGUUGCUGGAACUGGACUCUUUACCAAAACAAAAAACAAAAAGAAAAAGAAAAUGCAAUGGCUCAGAUUCCUAUGUUAGCUUUUGUGCAGAAUAUUCGGUAAAGAUUUCCGUUCGAUCUCUCUCCAAUGUUCCACCUCAGUUAUGCCUGUCGAUAUCCUCACAGACUCCCAAGUGAACUAACUAACUGGUGUGUUCACUUAGCACGGGGGUUGAAGAGAACACCCACUGCACACACACAACACAAUAACAUAAACAAAAACAACAAACAGUACUGUACUUAUACAACAGCAAAUAAAUUAUCAAAAGAAAAAAAAAUACAUAUAUAUUUUAUGGUGUAUUCUUAAAAUUAAUUUAUCUACCAAAGUGGACAAAAAUAUACAUAUAAAAAGGAUUAAAAUGGGGCAUGUCCUUCCCUUCUUGAGGCUCUGGGUAGCCGCGGGAUAUUAAAUGUCAUGUUAGUGUAACGAGAGAGAGAGAAAGACUCUCGUCAGUUCGGUGUAUUUUCGAUGUAUUUGUCUGGAGGUUCUGUGUGUGGGGUUGGCGUUGUAGGUCCCCCCCCCCUCCUGUACGCACAGUUUGUAUACUGGAGCUUUAAUAAGGAGCUUUAAAUCCAUUUCCCGGUGUGUUAUAAGUGAGUAUUGUUACUGGACUGCGGCAGAGGAUUUUUUUUGUGAUUGCGAAACUCGUCUUGUAUCCAGGUGAAGUGACCGAUUUUCUCUCUCGCAAUGAAGUACAUUUUUCUUUACGCUUUGAAAGGUUAUUCAGGUUAGUGAUUAGCUGCAAACCUUAAUUCUCUCAUCAAAUUGUCAGCUGUUUGGAUAAACCGCAAUGUUUUAUAUGUAACGACGGAUUAAGUGUUCAAAGCGGAGUUCAUUUCAGCGAAAGGAAAAUGUAACGCGACGCUAAGUAAAGGAUCAAAACGACUGGCCAUUCCACUGGAUAUGAACCGGAUUUUCUUUCAACUAAAGCAGGUCCAACAGUACCAUCUGAUUGAAAGUAAACCGCAAUAAGCCAGUAAACUACCUCUACAGUGUAUAUUUUUUUUCAUCAUAACCGACUCGCCGAUAACAAUUUCUUGUAGUAGAAAAUGUCAAUAAGCCAAUGAAAAUUAGACCUCUCAAAACGGAUUUAAGAAGACACGUUCCUUCGGCGCGAUUUGUUGGUUUUCAUUGGACACGUCAGCCAAUCAGCUUUUGAUCUCUCCGACGGGAAAAGUCUAAACCAAUCAGCGCUCUCCGUGUCUCCUUCGGGAAAAUAUCCAGCCAAUCAGCGAGGUUUUACUAAUUCAAUGUAGCCAAUCAUCGCCCUUAGCCACAGCAUGGAGAAUGCCGGGCCUCUUUUCAGGAUCAGUAAACGUUCUGAAAGAAAAUAACGCUUAUAAAGGAAAAUAAAACGAUAUUUUUGUGUAACAUUAGAAAAAAAGGAGCUAGAUUUAACAUCUUUCUUGGCUAAUUUCUUCAAGUAACUGUAUUCACCCCAUGAACCGCCAACCCUUCGUUCGAGAGAAUUGUCGAAAUGACCUCAAGCGUGUGGUUUCGUAUGUCGUUUACUAGUACAUGUCAGCUACCUGGUGUGUUUUCUCUCCCCCCUAAACCAGUAGUACCUCAGGGUCAGCCUUUGUUUAUCCCAGCGUAAAGUAAAAUCAACGUUUUCAAUCCAUCGUCAAAUGUCUUUCUCUCUCUCGAUUCUUUUAUUAAAACGGAAGAAUCCAAUGUAUCAUCUUCAUUAAUCUUCAUUUUUAAAACAAAUCUUCUCGAUUCUCUUUGAAAAUAAGCAAGUAUCCAGUGUAACAACGUUUUAUUCUUACUUUUAGCAUCUCGAAUCUCUCUCUCUCUUUUUUUUAAACGUGUAAGAAUCCAGUAUAUAUUCCAAAUCCACGGUUCCAGCACCUGUCCGCCGGUCCUUGCUUCGACUCGAAUGAAGCCCAGACGCCUCCUGUUUCCCAUGACCGAGCUUCCAUUCUACGGUUAGUUCCUAUUCCCCACAUACUGUAGUCUCCCAUUCCUCCUAUAAACCCGUGUUUGGUUGUCUUCUAUGUACAAGUCCUAUUACUUCUCAUUAUAAGUCGUAUGUUCUCGACUUCUGAUAGAUAUUUCCCUCACGCCCUUUCUGCGGUUUCAUAAUUGAUAGAGAAUCUAAUCCUAUUUUGCCAGGAAGAGGUACCCUCAUCCUCUUUCCUAUCCUAUGUGAAAGUCACUCCUUAUCCCCCAUCCAAUUCUCUAUCCAAGGGUUCUGAUCUUGUCCCUACGUAAUCUCUCCACUUAUGCAAUAGUAUCAUCGCAUACCCUUUAAUCUUUCUAACACCAUUCUGUAUUCAUAUAAAAAAUAAAUAAAUAAAAAAAUCCAAACAUUUUCCUCCAAAACGCAGAAAACCCAAUUUUCACCACCUUUUCUUAUCCCAGUUCCUAAUCCUUAUCCUUUUCCUUCGUUUCGAGUUUCCUGUUAACUGUAUCCUCUGGUAAGGGCUUCCUCCUCACCAGGGUCCUCCAGCCAGCUGUAUUGUCCAGCAGAACAUCUACCCAACAAUACCUGUACUGUCGAGUAAUAUAUUUAUUCACCAA